GUUAUGGCGUUGAGAGGAAAUAGUAGUAAAGCAUAAGUAUCUAUUAGAGAAUCGAUGGUUGGUGGAAAUCGAUGAUACGGCUUUAUGAAUCCAUCCUUGAGCAAAAUGCUGAACGAUAAAGCUAGUAGGCAUUUUCGGUUCGAACCGUUAUCGAUGAAGUGGAAAGUACUUGUACUUUCAAUUUGGGUGGCAACGCGGGUAACUCUCGUCCCUUUC
rfam:Virgibacillus soli strain PL205 scaffold000041, whole genome shotgun sequence.